rnacentral:misc_RNA from 1 species
UUUUUAUUUUAUACUUUAAACCUUGAAUUUAUUUUUUAAAUGUUUAUAUUAUUUGAAUAAAACAUUCAAAUAAUAUAAAAAAUAAUAUAUAUAUUGACAUGGAUUAAACAAAGAUAUAUAUUAUUCUAUGUUGUAUAAACAAAUUGGCAAAAUAGAGAUGGAACAUAAAAAUAU